AACGAACGCUGGCGGCAGGCCUAACACAUGCAAGUCGAGCGAACCCUUCGGGGUUAGCGGCGGACGGGUUAGUAACGCGUGGGAAUAUACCCUUUGGUACGGAAUAGCCUCGGGAAACUGAGAGUAAUACCGUAUGUGCCCUUCGGGGAAGAUUUAUCGCCAAAGGAUUAGCCCGCGUUGGAUUAGAUAGUUGGUGGGGUAAUGGCCUACCAAGUCUACGAUCCAUAGCUGGUUUGAGAGGAUGAUCAGCAACACUGGGACUGAGACACGGCCCAGACUCCUACGGGAGGCAGCAGUGGGGAAUCUUAGACAAUGGGCGCAAGCCUGAUCUAGCCAUGCCGCGUGGACGAUGAAGGCCUUAGGGUUGUAAAGUCCUUUCAGAUGGGAAGAUAAUGACGGUACCAUCAGAAGAAGCCCCGGCUAACUCCGUGCCAGCAGCCGCGGU
rnacentral:rRNA from 1 species